ensembl:lncRNA
CCACAGAGCAGGAGCCCUUCCUGCACCAGAUCAGGGCUUUAUAAACCAGCUGCCCUCCCUCCCUGAUGGUUGUAUGGGAGGCUGUGUUGGGACUGUCCUAGAUGGCAGAAACAGGCAGGUACUCAUGGGAAAUGACACAGUGUGCAUGAUGGGAAUCGUGGAUCGCAGCCGAGGACCAGGAGAGGACGACGUCGCUCCUCGCCGCGUGCGCCCUGCUUGCACCACACCUGCACUUCCCCUCUGUGUGAUAGCGCUGUCCCCCAAAAGCGGCUGCAAAGCUUCCUUGGGCGGCCUGUUCCAGCACGUCACCGCUCUUUUGGAGAAGAAAUGUUUCCUAAUAUCCAUCCUGAACAUCCCCUGGCAUGGCUUGAGGCCGUUCCCUCUCAUCUUCUCGCAGCUGCCCAGGAGAAGAGGCCGACCCCCACCUCGCUACAACCUCCCAGCUGUUGUGUCCACAGUGAGUCCACGGCAGCAGCUCGGGGUGGUGGAAGGCGGCUAUUUGUUUUGGAAGACACACAGUGGUACACAUAUAAAUGCAGGAAAAAGAAGAAUUUAUACAGAGUGGUACCACCAGGUGAGAGAAAGCGAUCCAGAAGGCAAUAAAUGGGGUCUGCUGCUGGUCAGCGAGGGAGGGGAUGGAUGGAACUGUGACCCCCCAAAAGUGAGAUGGGACAAUGAUAGCCCUGAGUGAGGGUGUGUGGGCUGUGUGGGGCCCCAAAGCAGCCCCAAGGCCCUAUGGUGAGUUGGAGCUGUGGAGCAGCAGACAUUUGGGAUGCGUUGAGAAGAGAUGACUGUGCUGUAGCCAGGAAAGCUGCUCCUUAUAAGAGCAGGCUGGGUGAUGGGGAGGAUGGCACGGGGGCUUCAAGCACCAACUGGGUGGCCCUGGCAGUCACUGAAGUUGUCGUUUCCAGCCCAAGAGCUGCUGGAACCAAAGGAAAAGCACUGCAGGGGGGAAAACCUGCUCCCCUUCCUUGGGGUCCUCUGGCCUCCAAAGGGGCAAAAGCCCUUUUUCUGGCACCGGUGGCCCACCCUUCCACUCGAUGCAUUAUUCAAAC